CGACCUUGAAAUACCACCACUUUCGACAUUGCUUUGCUAAUGCUGUAACGAACGAACGGCCCCCUGGUAUCGGCCCGCGAGGGCAGGUGCUGGGUAAGGUCACAUUCUAGCGCUUUCCAAGCUGACAUGACACCUUAGUCGCUCUAGGUGAGUACUUUGGGACCACAAACUGGGCUUCCGGGUCUGGUGCGUGCUGCUCUCGGGGGAACUAGAGAUGGUUGAGUAGUCCUCUGUUGGCAAAAACGGGUACGUAAGCCGUGUAGCAGACCAUUUGUGUUGGGGAGUUUGGCUGGGGCGGAAAACUGCUACACGGCAACGGCAGUCUCCUAAGGUCCACUCAGAGACGACAGAAACGUCUCGUAGAGCAUAAAGGCAAAAGUGGGC
rnacentral:rRNA from 1 species